rnacentral:rRNA from 1 species
ACGGCGAGUGAAGCGGGAAGAGCUCAAAUUUGAAAUCUGGUAGCCUUCGGCUGCCCGAGUUGUAAUCUAGAGAAGUGUUUUCCGUGCCGGCCCAUGUACAAGUCCCUUGGAACAGGGCGUCAUAGAGGGUGAGAAUCCCGUCCUUGACAUGGACCCCCGGUGCUUUGUGAUACACUUUCAACGAGUCGAGUUGUUUGGGAAUGCAGCUCAAAAUGGGUGGUGAAUUCCAUCUAAAGCUAAAUAUUGGCGAGAGACCGAUAGCGAACAAGUACCGUGAGGGAAAGAUGAAAAGCACUUUGGAAAGAGAGUUAAACAGUACGUGAAAUUGUUGAAAGGGAAACGAUUGAAGUCAGUCAUGCUCUUUGGAUUCAGCCGUUCUUGCGGUGUAUUUCCAUUGAGUGGGGUCAACAUCAGUUUUGACCGCUGGAUAAAGGCACUAGGAAGGUAGCACUCUCGGGUGAACUUAUAGCCUAGCGUCAUAUACAGUGGUUGGGACUGAGGAACGCAGCAUGCCUUUAUGGCCGGGAUUCGUCCACGUAC